GGGGAGGAGAAGCAGGCGUGAGGGAAAUUUUAAGUAGGAGACUUCUUUUCAGAAAAGAAAAUGAAGUCUUUGCUGAAGUUCUCUGUGUCAUCGGUGUGUUACAGGCCCUCCACACCAACCGUAGGUUGCACUCUGCCCUCUGCACUUGGCCCUGGGCUACAGUCCUACCCAAGGGAAGUCGUAACAAUUCAUUGCCCUAUUUCCUGCAAGAAGGUCAAGGCUAGGGCUCACGAAGCCAAGCAAAAGAAAUUUUUCUCAAAUGGCCAGAAAGUCACCUUCUUCAGCUUCUUCAGCUCCUUCACCUUCACCCUUUUCUCUUCAGGGAAAGCUGCCCUUCUCCUGAGGACUGGAACUGCCUUAGCUGUCACAGGAAUGAGACCCCAAGUCAACCAGUUUGCACUAUGGGAUCCUGCCUGCUGGGCCAACUUGACUGGGAUUAAGGUAGAUACCUUGCCCAAUGCUAGUCACACAAAUUCUCUCCUCCAGGAAUUUGAAAUUGGGAGUGGCAAAUGCUAUAGUCUGCUAGGCUGGGUACUUGACCGUGUAAAUACCUGCAGCAUUGAUUUUUUUUUUUUUUGAGAUGGAGUUUCACUCUUGUUGCCCAGGCUGGAGUGCAAUGGCCCGAUUUUGGCUCACUGCAACCUCUGCCUCCUGGGUUCUAGUGAUUCUCCUGCCUCAGCCUCCCAAGUAGCUGGGAUUACAGGCAUGCGCCACUAUGCCUGGCUAAUUUUGUAUUUUUAGCACAGUCAGGGUUUCUCCAUGUUGACCAGGCUGGUCUCGAACUCCCGACCUCAGGUGAUCUGCCCACAUCAGCUUCCCAAAGUGCUGGGAUUACAGGUGUGAGCCACUGCACCCCACCUCUGCAACAUUGAUUCUUAACCCUGGCUGCCCCAUAGAAUCACCAG
rnacentral:lncRNA from 1 species